rnacentral:rRNA from 1 species
AUGGAUGAACUUAUGAAAUUGUUUGCUAAUAAGAGUGCUCCUAUUGAUCCUAAUGAUAUGCCUUUGUCCACUUUGAUUGAGAAUAAUAAUGAAUCUAUGGAUGUGAAUUUUGUUGGUAGGAAUAAUUUUGGUAACAAUGCGUAUAGAGGGAACUUAAAUCCUAGGCUGUUCCCUAGUAAUUCCUCUAAUAAUUAUGGUAAUUCCUACAACAACUCUUAUGGAAAUUUUAAUAAGUUGCCCUCUGAUUUUGAUAUUAGUGUUAUGGAAUUUAUGAUUUCUCAGAAGAAUUUCAAUGCUUUGCUUGAAGAAAAAUUGCCUGAGAUUGAUGAGUUAGUUAGGAACGUGGAUAGAAUUUCUCUUGAUGUUGAUUCUUUGAAACUUAGAUCUAUUCCACCUAAGCAUGAUAUCAAUGAGUCUGCCAAAUCUAUGAGAAUUUCCAUUGAUGAGUGCAAGGAAAGAACCGCUAGGAUGCGUGCUAAAAAAGAUUGCUUUGUAAAAGCGUGUUCUUCCAGUUUUCAUGAUGAUAGGGAUGAAGAUCUAAAGGUGAUUGAUGUGUCCCCUAUUAAAUCUUUGUUUUGA